AAAAAAAUAAAAAUUAGAUGGACUGGACUUGGGCUUUGUUUGGAAAGCCAGGAAAGGGUGGCAUUUCCGGGCCAGGGCUGAAAAUGGAUCUGAAUGCUAAGAUUGGGCUAACCUUCACUCCAAUAGAAUGGGGAAACGAGCAGAAGCAUAUUUUGUCUACCAUCCCUCGGGGCAAAUCCGUGUUCAUCACAGGCUCUGCUGAAAGUAGUGUAGUGGCUAAAAAAUCCAACUGAGUUAAGCUCACGGGACUUAUUUUUUGAGUUUUAUUGAUCUCUUUUUAAUAAUAUAUACUAAUAAUAGACAUUUAUAUAAUUAUAAGAUUAAGAAAGAUAUUACUAAUAAUUAAAAUAUUUUAUUUAUGCUAAUCUACAUCCAAGCCAAACUAAACCAAAGCGAUGAGUUGUUUUACAAAUUAGCAUCUAGUAGUAAUAAGUAAACAAUAAUAAAAAGCAGAAAUAGACCAUAAUCUCUCUCUCUAAAUUAUUCUUAGUUCAUCACUGCAUCAUCAUAAGCAAGAAGAACUUGUAGUGACUCCCAUCAUACGGUAUUGUAGACCGCUGCAAAUUAAAAAGAAAUAAAGAGCAAAUAAUUAGUCCAUAAUGUAGGUUAAAAAUUCCAAGUAGAUAAAUCACACAUUGAUGAUGACAUUAAUUGGAUCAAGAAUAAACCGUCUAUAUUUUAAGUUAGUAUUUUUAAAAACAAAAAUAAAAUUUAUAUUAAAAUUUGUUUAAAAAAACAAAAAAAAAA